rnacentral:rRNA from 1 species
UACGUAUGGUGCAAGCGUUAUCCGGAUUUACUGGGCGUAAAGGGAGCGCAGGCGGCGCGCCAAGUCUGAUGUGAAACCCCGGGGCUCAACCCCGGGCAUGCAUUGGAAACUGGCGGGCUGGAGUGCCGGAGAGGUAAGCGGAAUUCCUAGUGUAGCGGUGAAAUGCGUAGAUAUUAGGAGGAACACAAGUGGCGAAGGCGGCUUACUGGACGGCAACUGACGCUGAGGCUCGAAAGCGUGGGGAGCAAACAGG